rnacentral:rRNA from 1 species
UACGUAGGGGGCAAGCGUUGUCCGGAAUCAUUGGGCGUAAAGAGCGUGUAGGCGGCCAGAUAAGUCCGCUGUGAAAUCUCGAGGCUCAACUUCGAGCUGUCGGUGGAAACUGUCUGGCUAGAGCCCGGAAGAGGAGAAUGGAAUUCCUGGUGUAGCGGUGAAAUGCGCAGAUAUCAGGAAGAACACCCGUGGCGAAGGCGGUUCUCUGGGACGGUACUGACGCUGAGACGCGAAAGCGUGGGGAGCGAACAGG